GUGGUCUACCAGAGAGGGCACAUGUGCCUCAAUUGGCCUAUAGCAUAGCGACUCAUUAUCCUUCCACCGCUGGUGGCGGGCGAUACUCGCUGCUCUGUGAAGCCAGCCUCACGCAAUGUCCGCCACUUUAGGUGUUGGGAUGCAAAGGCUUUCUCCAAGGCAUCCGAAACCCACUACACAACUUGGAAUGGGUGGUCCACAGUUUGUUGCACUAGACCCAGGCACAUGCACCACAAUUGACAUCCACACUACCUUAUUGCCCCCGCUCGGGUUACAAGCAAUCGCUACUUGCUCAGCGAGUGAGGGGGUUCAAGACUACCUAUUUAAGGUGGUGUUGUACUCUAUGAGCCGACAGUGUGGUAUUUACCAACUACAAAUAGUGUCAUGCAUGUGACUUGCUAGUUGACAAUGUCUGUUGUCGAGCUAGAUGUGGGCUAUGGAUGAAGCACAUUAGGAUAUAGUAGGCCUAUUUUGUUUUUUGUUGUUUUUGGGCCACUAUGGACUUUAUGUUGAUGUUGUGAAAUUUUUUCCUGUGUUUCCUCUUCCUACGAUGUGGAAAGUGGGUGCGUCAGAGAAGAAAGAAAGAGUAGCUAGCAUUGAUUUUACGUCAUACCAUUGAGAACACUAAUCAGAAGCAGAAGCAACAAUAUUUCAUACAUAUACAACACUUGUAAUCCAUAUAAACAACUUUCCUUUAAAAUAUAAUAUAAACCACAUGAUUUAUAUCCUGGGUCGGCUAUCUCCACAAAGGGCAAGAAAACGCACCAAGUUUGUAGUAUAGAACUAAAAGUGUCGAUUCUCACGAUUUCUUCCCGACAUAUACAAACUAGACAGUAAUCACAUAAAAUAAAGAAAUAUGUGUUAACACGAACUUAUAGCAUGUAUUUCAACAUAUAGACUAUUGAUUAUUAUGGUAGAUUAUAUAAAAUAGGGGUUCCCGAAGAAAUACAUAAAAACAAGAGCAUUAAAAUUUCCUUUUCAGAUCUGGCUAUCUAGUAAAAGGAGUUGGAGUAACUGAGUUUCCAAAUUUGUGACGUAGCUCUAUAGAAGGAAUAUAAACACGUUGGAAAAAUUCUACAAGGAAAGGUCUAAUACAAGUAGGGCUAAGAAAAACUCAAUGAGGCUUUGGUCGCAUGGUCACAAAACUUGAGACAAGAAACACGAAGACACCAAGGUAAUUAGUAUGAGAGUUUUCCAAAUUUGGUGUCUUGAUGUAGAAAAAAUAAAUAUAUGACAAACUUGUUUUUUCGCAAGGCAUGGAUAAAUAAGUGGGGGUGAGCAAUAAAUUUCAUCCUAGAUUUAGAAGGAAUAAAUAUAUCACUAAAUACGUUUUAUCAAAAUGCCAAGUUAAUCAGGUGGGAGCGAGAAACAAUUCUAGCGAGGCUAGGUUGUACUAGCCCAAAACUACAUACAACAGAGGAAAAAUGAAGAAAAUGAUGGUCUACCAAAUAGGGCGCAUGAGCCUUAAGGUGCACCUAGAGGGAAGUAGAAGAAAUAAAUAUAUAAUAGCAUAUGUUUUUCGCAAUGCAAGGUAAAGUGUAGAUGUGCUCUAACUGGGCUUAGAUUGCAGCGACACAUUAUGCAUCUACAAGGCUUGGUUGCACAUGGAAAAAGAUAGAGAGAGAAAUGUAGACGCAGGACCGGGAGAAAAACAUUCAAUGAGACAUGAUUGCACGGACAUAGAACUAGAUAUAAGACAAGAGUUAAAGAAAAAUAAAGGAACUAAAUUUUCUUCUGCACACUAAGCAUGAAUGGAGUUGUAGUAUCUGAGAUCAAAAUUUAAUUUAUUCCAAGAUGCAGAACAAAAAUGUGAUACUCGUAAUGGUUACAUAGGAACAAAAGUAGAUAAGAAAAAUAGCAAAAAGAUAGUGGUCUACCAGAGAGGGCACAUGUGCCUCAAUUGGCCUAUAGCAUAGCGACUCAUUAUCCUUCCACCGCUGGUGGCGGGCGAUACUCGCUGCUCUGUGAAGCCAGCCUCACGCAAUGUCCGCCACUUUAGGUGUUGGGAUGCAAAGGCUUUCUCCAAGGCAUCCGAAACCCACUACACAACUUGGAAUGGGUGGUCCACAGUUUGUAGCACUAGACCCAGGCACAUGCACCACAAUUGACAUCCACACUACCUUAUUGCCCCCGCUCGGGUUACAAGCAAUCGCUACUUGCUCAGCGAGUGAGGGGGUUCAAGACUACCUAUUUAAGGUGGUGUUGUACUCUAUGAGCCGACAGUGUGGUAUUUACCAACUACAAAUAGUGUCAUGCAUGUGACUUGCUAGUUGACAAUGUCUGUUGUCGAGCUAGAUGUGGGCUAUGGAUGAAGCACAUUAGGAUAUAGUAGGCCUAUUUUGUUUUUUGUUGUUUUUGGGCCACUAUGGACUUUAUGUUGAUGUUGUGAAAUUUUUUCCUGUGUUUCCUCUUCCUACGAUGUGGAAAGUGGGUGCGUCAGAGAAGAAAGAAAGAGUAGCUAGCAUUGAUUUUACGUCAUACCAUUGAGAACACUAAUCAGAAGCAGAAGCAACAAUAUUUCAUACAUAUACAACACUUGUAAUCCAUAUAAACAACUUUCCUUUAAAAUAUAAUAUAAACCACUUGAUUUAUAUCCUGGGUCGGCUAUCUCCACAAAGGGCAAGAAAACGCACCAAGUUUGUAGUAUAGAACUAAAAGUGUCGAUUCUCACGAUUUCUUCCCAACAUAUACAAACUAGACAGUAAUCACAUAAAAUAAAGAAAUAUGUGUUAACACGAACUUAUAGCAUGUAUUUCAACAUAUAGAUUGUUGAUUAUUAUGGUAGAUUAUAUAAAAUAGGGGUUCCCGAAGAAAUACAUAAAAACAAGAGCAUUAAAAGUUCCUUUUCAGAUCUGGCUAUCUAGUAAAAGGAGUUGGAGUAACUGAGUUUCCAAAUUUGUGACGUAGCUCUAUAGAAGGAAUAUAAAUACGUUGGAAAAAUUCUACAAGGAAAGGUCUAAUACAAGUAGGGCUAAGAAAAACUCAAUGAGGCUUUGGUCACAUGGUCACAAAACUUGAGACAAGAAACACGAAGACACCAAGGUAAUUAGUAUGAGAGUUUUCCAAAUUUGGUGUCUUGAUGUAGAAAAAAUAAAUAUAUGACAAACUUGUUUUUUCGCAAGGCAUGGAUAAAUAAGUGGGGGUGAACAAUAAAUUUCAUCCUAGAUUUAGAAGGAAUAAAUAUAUCACUAAAUACGUUUUUUCACAAUGCCAAGUUAAUCAGGUGGGAGCGAGAAACAAUUCUAGCGAGGCUAGUUUGUACUAGCCCAAAACUACAUACAACAGAGGAAAAAUGAAGAAAAUGAUGGUCUACCAAAUAGGGCGCAUGAGCCUUAAGGUGCACCUAGAGGGAAGUAGAAGAAAUAAAUAUAUAAUAGCAUAUGUUUUUCGCAAUGCAAGGUAAAGUGUAGAUGUGCUCUAACUGGGCUUAGAUUGCAGCGACACAUUAUGCAUCUACAAGGCUUGGUUGCACAUGGAAAAAGAUAGAGAGAGAAAUGUAGACGCAGGACCGGGAGAAAAACAUUCAAUGAGACAUGAUUGCACGGACAUAGAACUAGAUAUAAGACAAGAGUUAAAGAAAAAUAAAGGAACUAAAUUUUCUUCUACACACUCAGCAUGAAUGGAGUUGUAGUAUCUGAGAUCAAAAUUUAAUUUAUUCCAAGAUGCAGAACAAAAACGUGAUACUCGUAAUGGUUACAUAGGAACAAAAGUAGAUAAGAAAAAUAGCAAAAAGAUAGUGGUCUACCAGAGAGGGCACAUGUGCCUCAAUUGGCCUAUAGCAUAGCGACUCAUUAUCCUUCCACCGCUGGUGGCGGGCGGUACUCGCUGCUCUAUGAAGCCAGCCUCACGCAAUGUCCGCCACUUUAGGUGUUGGGAUGCAAAGGCUUUCGCCAAGGCAUCCGAAACCCACUACACAACUUGGAAUGGGUGGUCCACAGUUUGUAGCACUAGACCCAGGCACAUGCACCACAAUUGACAUCCACACUACCUUAUUGCCCCCGCUCGGGUUACAAGCAAUCGCUACUUGCUCAGCGAGUGAGGGGGUUCAAGACUACCUAUUUAAGGUGGUGUUGUACUCUAUGAGCCGACAGUGUGGUAUUUACCAACUACAAAUAGUGUCAUGCAUGUGACUUGCUAGUUGACAAUGUCUGUUGUCGAGCUAGAUGUGGGCUAUGGAUGAAGCACAUUAGGAUAUAGUAGGCCUAUUUUGUUUUUUGUUAUUUUUGGGCCACUAUGGACUUUAUGUUGAUGUUGUGAAAUUUUUUCUUGUGUUUCCUCUUCCUACGAUGUGGAAAGUGGGUGCGUCAGAGAAGAAAGAAAGAGUAGCUAGCAUUGAUUUUCCGUCAUACCAUUGAGAACACUAAUCAGAAGCAGAAGCAACAAUAUUUCAUACAUAUACAACACUUGUAAUCCAUAUAAACAACUUUCCUUUAAAAUAUAAUGUAAACCACAUGAUUUAUAUCUAGGGUCGGCUAUCUCCACAAAGGGCAAGAAAACGCUCCAAGUUUGUAGUAUAGAACUAAAAGUGUCGAUUCUCACGAUUUCUUCCCGACAUAUACAAACUAGACAGUAAUCACAUAAAAUAAAGAAAUAUGUGUUAACACGAACUUAUAGCAUGUAUUUCAACAUAUAGAUUGUUGAUUAUUAUGGUAGAUUAUAUAAAAUAGGGGUUCCCGAAGAAAUACGUAAAAACAAGAGCAUUAAAAUUUCCUUUUCAGAUCUGGCUAUCUAGUAAAAGGAGUUGGAGUAACUGAGUUUCCAAAUUUGUGACGUAGCUCUAUAGAAGGAAUAUAAAUACGUUGGAAAAAUUCUACAAGGAAAGGUCUAAUACAAGUAGGGCUAAGAAAAACUCAAUGAGGCUUUGGUCGCAUGGUCACAAAACUUGAGACAAGAAACACGAAGACACCAAGGUAAUUAGUAUGAGAGUUUUCCAAAUUUGGUGUCUUGAUGUAGAAAAAAUAAAUAUAUGACAAACUUGUUUUUUCGCAAGGCAUGGAUAAAUAAGUGGGGGUGAACAAUAAAUUCAUCCUAGAUUUAGAAGGAAUAAAUAUAUCACUAAAUACGUUUUUUCACAAUGCCAAGUUAAUCAGGUGGGAGCGAGAAACAAUUCUAGCGAGGCUAGGUUGUACUAGCCCAAAACUACAUACAACAGAGGAAAAAUGAAGAAAAUGGUGGUCUACCAAAUAGGGCGCAUGAGCCUUAAGGUGCACCUAGAGGGAAGUAGAAGAAAUAAAUAUAUAAUAGCAUAUGUUUUUCGCAAUGCAAGGUAAAGUGUAGAUGUGCUCUAACUGGGCUUAGAUUGUAGCGACACAUUAUGCAUCUACAAGGCUUGGUUGCUCAUGGAAAAAGAUAGAGACAGAAAUGUAGACGCAGGACCGGGAGAAAAACAUUCAAUGAGACGUGAUUGCACGGACAUAGAACUAGUUAUAAGACAAGAGUUAAAGAAAAAUAAAGGAACUAAAUUUUCUUCUGCACACUAAGCAUGAAUGGAGUUGUAGUAUCUGAGAUCAAAAUUUAAUUUAUUCCAAGAUGCAGAACAAAAACGUGAUACUCGUAAUGGUUACAUAGGAACAAAAGUAGAUAAGAAAAAUAGCAAAAAGAUAGUGGUCUACCAGAGAGGGCACAUGUGCCUCAAUUGGCCUAUAGCAUAGCGACUCAUUAUCCUUCCACCGCUGGUGGCGGGCGGUACUCGCUGCUCUGUGAAGCCAACCUCACGCAAUGUCCGCCACUUUAGGUGUUGGGAUGCAAAGGCUUUCGCCAAGGCAUCCGAAACCCACUACACAACUUGGAAUGGGUGGUCCACAGUUUGUAGCACUAGACCCAGGCACAUGCACCACAAUUAACAUUCACACUACCUUAUUGCCCCCGCUCGGGUU
rnacentral:lncRNA from 1 species